GGGAGAGCAGAAGAAGGUGGGAGGAGCUCCUUCAACCAGCCAUGCAGUCUGGCAAGCGGCCACACUCACCGAUCCUCGUUAAACCUCCUGCGUUGCUUUGCUGUCAUUAAUGUUCAGCGCGCAACCAGGUAAUCAAUCUUGGUCAGAGGGCUCUUUGAAGUGGGCAGAAUUUGAAGUGCCCCUCUCUCCCCCGGGACUGCUCCUGUUUUUGGGUGACAGUGAUGGGGAGGAACGCUGCCACCGCUUCAGAGCCAGUCUGGACCCCCUGCUGGUCUCCAUUACGGUCAGCAAAAGGGAGAGGCAGAAAUCGGGGAGGGACAAACGCGGGAGAACCAGUCAUCUGCAGAGAUUAGACAUUUGACUUUGAUUGUGAUACAACGACUGAGUGCAAUGCAAAAGUAUUGAUGCAACUUAUUUGUCACUGAAUUAAAAUGCAAUCGCAGCUUCAAGUCUU